GCUGUACAAUGGAAAAGGGAGAGAGAGACACCUACAAUGUUACCUUGGAACUCUAGGAUCAAAUCAGGAUCACCAGUAUCAGUGUUUUAUAGGUAAUGACCAAAUAGACAAAACCUUCUCUCCAGGACUAGACUAAGGUAGAGAGAAGAAACAUAUGGACAUCAACAACAACAACAAAACCCAUGGGAGAAGCAACAUCUGCUUUUACUAUAGUGUGAAUACACUCACCAGUGAGAG